CAGGUGAGCUGGAAAGUGCUUCAGUCCUAGCUUUGAUAUGUGCACCGUCAUUUGUCAUUAUUCUUCCUUUCCAAGAAUUGGAAACCAAUGUGAGAGACGGAUCUCGAACGAAUUUCAGAAGCAGGCUGAGUGCAAAUAUGGAUUUUGCACCAAAUUGCGCGAUAACUGAUUCUUCCAGCAACCCAGACCUUGUCAAAUAACUAGGAUUAAGAGAAGGGAACCACUGAGAUUGGACUGACUCGAGUUGCUGAAUGAUAUUUGCAGUGAUAAAGUGUGAAAGGCCUCAGGUGAGGGAGUCAAAUCUGAGACAGUUAAACAAAACUAACUAUUUUACUAAUUAAACAAGCGCAAAAAUCCACAUAAACCAAUUAGAACUCGCCACAAGCUUGUGCAAUGGAGUGAUGAUGCGAGAAAUCGUAACUACAAUUCACUAUCAUUAUUUUUAUUGUUGUUGUUUGUUUGUUUUUGCUGAAAAUUCUUAGUAGGGGUGAAGAAACUAUUUGAUUCCCUGUGGUAGUUCAAUUCAGUUGCACGCGAUUACUUUGAAAUGAAGGCUGUGGCGUCUUGUAGUCUUGAUCAUUAUGACUGCCAACACAAGCCAGUUUUGAAUAUUAAAUGUUCUCUCUGUAUGUGGUCGGAUAAAGUUUCAGAAAAUAAAAACGCCCUUGAUAAAGAGACGAGACAGUUCAACUGAUGUCAUCCUGUCAGUUGUCACUAGCAAAUGUACAGUAUUCCGUUUUGGUCAACAUUUGAAAUUGCCACGGUGUCUUAUUUUUUCAAUGAUCGCAUGGUAAACAGGAAAAAAGUCUUGUAUUCAAGUACUCAUUAUUUUACAAUCUCUAUUCACCGUGUCGUGAUAUCGGCUUUUCCACCGCUACAACAAUGAAAAAAUGUACAAAUGAAACCACUUUGCGUAACGUCAGAUCUUUAUGGUUAACGCCAGCUUGCUUUCUCACAGAAUUAUACUCCAAGGUAUCCAGUUUUUAUGGUUCGUUUUAUAGCCGUGCUUUUCCAAGUAAAAGGAGAAUCCAUGCUCAAUGUACCAAAAAUAGUUUUGUUACAUAUCAUUACGGAAACUCGCAAUUCGAUCACUCCCAGAAAGUUUUGACUUUAGCUCUUUCCGAAGUCACAGCUCGGUUGAACAUAGUGUAGUUGUCAGUAACCCACCUUGUAUUCUUGUUUCAUUGUUAAUACUUUUGUCUGCAAUUUCAAGCAAUCUAUAUAUCUCCUGUAUGUCUUUAAAGUCAAUCUUUUCAAUUUUAAAACAUUCUUCGAUGUUUUUGUUAACGAUUCUUUUCCUGUUUGAAUCUUUUUCUGGCGAUGUGUUGUGAUGACAAAAUCUCGUCGAUUCGUGACCAGAAAUCUUUCCCGAUACUGAUAUGCUCCAGCCAGCUGUUUUCCCUCUUGUCGUAGAAAUGUUUCGAGACGAGUCGUGCUCGUCUUCGGCCGAACCGUUUUUUAAGCUUGGAUGAACGUAAAAAGGUGUACUUGGAGAGACAUCUCGAAGGCGAGCGAUAGAAUCAGGGCGUUUUGUUUGCUUCUUUCGGGGCAAUAAUUUUGAAUUCAAGAACGUGAACAAUUUACUCACACUUGAAUUGCCUUUCAUGAUGGUCUUUCUUCCGACACUGAUACUAAAAGAAAUUGGUUUCAUCAGAUACUGGGGGUGUUUAUCGCAAAAGGUUUCCACGUGACGAAUGAA